rnacentral:lncRNA from 1 species
GGACCCUUAUCCUAAAGGUGAAAUAUUCCUAGGUUAUAUUGGGGAUGGUUUCUGUUUGCAUAAAAUUCUUCCAGCUGGUAUAAAGGAAUCUGGAUUUGGAUUUAUUUUGGAGACUCCAGAACGAUCAUUUGUUGUGGGUGCAGAUACAGAAGAAGAGCGAAAAGAAUGGAUGGAUGUAAUUGAGAAAAUAUUAGAGCGACCAUUGACACCUCAAGAUAGCAAUAUGGCAGCCCUCAUAGUUCGGAAAAGAGCUACGCUCACUUCACAGCUAAGUGCAUUCAAGGUUUAAGCCCUGUAACAUCUCAGUACAGUCUGUGAAGGUCCAACAUCUAGUCCAGAUCUACAGACUAAAGCAGGAAGAUGUAUCUUAGGCCCAACUGCACACACUGGACUAAAAUUUGUUUUAUUUUAUGCUUGAAUGUCUGUACAAACAAUGAGAACUUUGUACCUUUCUGAGACACACUAACUUCUUCUAGAAGAAAUUAUUUGCACUGCACUUAAGGAAAAUUAGUUUAAACCAACUUUUUUUAAUUAUUGAAGAUAGAGUUUCCAUGUCUAAUAACAGUAUAUAUUGUUUUUCUAUAUUAUGAUUACAUUGUUUAGGAAUAUCUCACUUAUAUACUUUAUUAUUGCUUUAUGUACUGUAGAAGGCAGUGUUUCCACAAGUAUUUGAUGACUUGAAUGAAAUUUAUAUUGUGGCAAUAAAUUAUUUCUAAUGUGGUGUUGCAACAAAUUAACAUUCCCUGGAUUUAUAUGUGUGUGUUAGGUGUAUCUUGACUUGACUAGAAAAGUUUGUAUUAAGUAAAAGAUUAAAUGGAAAGUGUUUGUUAAAGGUACAGUUACAAGACACUUGGUGUCAAAAGUGGUUCAUGAUUAAGCAGCAAUAACCCAAGUAUAUUUUCAUCAUUGUUGUGCUUUGGUUUCCAAAUUGCAUUAUUUAUAGGUAGUGACUGAGAUCUGAAGUUUAAUUCAGAUUAAAGGGGAAGUGUUUUGUGUUGCAAAAGUUAAAUAUCUUCUAUACCAUACCAGGUUACGUAGAAAACAAAACAGGUAUUAGAACUUGCCAAAUGUAUGAUAAUUACUGAAGAAGUCUGGAACUUGUAUUACUUAAAAUGUUUCUUCUCUUUUGAAACUUACUCACAAACACUUCAAGGAAUAUUUAUUGUAGAAACAUCGAUGUGUGUGUAAUACAUAGGCAAUAAGUUUUUUGUGUAUUCAAAUUUAGGUAUUGGAAUAUCUUCUUUUUACUAUAGCUUAUGAGAUGGAAAUACAUUGGUUUUUAUGUCUUUCUGUUUGUGUUACCAAAAUAUCUAAAAAUCCUGUCACUAUUAAGGUUUCUAAGCAUUGAGUAUGUAGAUGUUUUUUUCUCUCAACACCAGAAUUGUGAAUUUGGGAGGGGGGAGGAGAUGCUUAAGGCCCAAAUCUUAGUUUCACCACCUGACACUGAGUCGGACCAGUUUCCAGGAAUUUGACCUCUUAUCAAAAACCCUGGAAAAUGUCAUAUUUUUAUCAGAGAUAAAAAAACUUAUACAAUUUGUACAGCAUAGAAUUCAGGAGAGUAAAUUGAUAUCACUAAUGUUAUGUUCUUCCAGUGCUUGUGUAAAGUUAGAUUAUUUGUAGUGAUUAAAGAAUGACCCAAACACAAUCUAAAUGUACAUAUUUUGCCAUGUGCCAUUGCUUUUAACUUUUUGCAGUUGGAUGAUGAUGUUAAAUUUACUUGUAAAAAUAUAUUUGUCUUUCUGUAUAAAAAUGUAUCUAAAAGAGAUUUUUUGUUUACAAAACUUGUGUUGUACAUAGGAUACCAUGGACUUUCAUUACUCAAAUCAUGAACUUUAGGGAAUUAAAUUCCAAGGUUAGGAUAUCUGCUUGAAGUAUUCCCUAGGUAGAUUCUGUAGUCACAUAGUCUUUUUCUUUUGAAAUUUUUACAUAUUUUUAACCUGGUGGCAAAGAAUUUAGUUAUUAUGUUUCAGAGAACAUGACAAAUGUGCACAUUUUCUGUAAUGUCACAUAUCUAGUAAUUUAAAAUUGUUUAUAAACAUAGUUCUAUCUUUAAACAUGUAUAAAUUUAUAUAUGAAUAAUAAGUAACAUCUUUUAACUGAACGUUCAUGAGAUCGGUCCAAUAGACUGAUCCCUUAGUUGAGAAGUAAUGUUGCCAGUAAUUCCAAAUUUACCAAUUGUAUCUUCACAAAAUGUAGCAAGCUGUUAGUAAACAGUAAAAGUCUAUUGUAAACAAACAUUCAGAUAUGUAAUGAAUUAUUUUCACUAAUGAUUUGUCUGUGAAUUGAUUAAGUCAGUCUGACUCAUCAGACUCUAAAGAGUCAGUUGUGCAAGGUAAGGCUCAUGUAAAGAGUAAAAAUACUUUUUUUCCAUCAUACAGUUUACAUGUUAUAUCUGGAUAAAUAUUACAACAUCCUAAAUGCAUAUUUUUUUUAGUAUCCCUGAUAAUGUAUAUUGUGAUUUCUGUACUCUAACACAAACUGUUGUGAUAUCAGCGAUGUAGGGUAAAAUGAAAAGAUGAUAACUCUCAGACCAAAUUAAUAAUACCAUGUUGAAUCGCACUCUGUACAAGGUUGUGCCAUGUGCACUUUUACCCCCACCCAUGCACAUAAGGUUAAUGACAUUUUGAAGUCAUAUACUCAACUAAUUCUGAUUUACUUUAUUUUUUAUUUAGAAUUUGGAUCGGAGAAGUAACUUUAGUAAGAAUGUUCCAAUUUUCAGUAAAAAGUUGUAUGUUUUGAUCAUUCCAAAAAUUCAACAAAUAAACUUGAUAAACAGAUAAACUACAACUAGCAAUAUUUUAUAUCAAAAUAACUAAAUUUAUGUUUUCCCAUUCACAUUUUUAAAAGAUUGUUAAAUUUUGAAAACAAACACAUUUUUAGUCAGUGUAUCAUGUAUACUAAUUAACUGCCAAACUCAAACCCCUAUUUAAUUAGAAAAUGCUGGAGAAACAAUUUUUUGUGACAUAUUUUGUUUAUUUUGUAUUCUAACAGAAAUGUUCAUAGAUACAAAUUAAACUUUCCUACAUUGCAACUUAAAAUGCAAGGUUUUCUUCUGUUUUUAAAUAUAUUUAGUGCUGUGAAACUACUAGAUUUUGUAGAGAAAUUUUCUAUGUGCACAAAAAUAUAUAUGAUUCUGAAGUUUUUUAAUCAUUAUGGUGUAUAUCACAACUGAGAAUCAAAACAUUCCAAGAUAUGUUUUUAGAUUUUCUACAUGUGCCAAUAUUAGGUGUAUACAUAUUCAUGUACUUGGUUUUGUUGUAUAUGCAACUUAAACAUAGAGGAUGUAAAUUUUCAACAUUAACAUGUUUAUAACGGUAAACUAGAUUUUUUGUUCGUACUUAUUAUGAAGGUAGUAA